rnacentral:rRNA from 1 species
ACUCCUACGGGAGGCAGCAGUGGGGAAUCCUAGACAAUGGGGGCGAACCCUGAUCUAGCCAUGCCGCGUGAGUGAUGAAGGCCUUAGGUUGUAAAGCUCUUUCAGCUGGGAAGAUAAUGACGGUACCAGCAGAAGAAGCCCCGGCUAACUCCGUGCCAGCAGCCGCGGUAAUACGGAGGGGGCUAGCGUUGUUCGGAAUUACUGGGCGUAAAGCGCACGUAGGCGGACCAGAAAGUUGGGGGUGAAAUCCCGGGGCUCAACCCCGGAACUGCCUUCAAAACUAUUGGUCUGGAGUUCGAGAGAGGUGAGUGGAAUACCGAGUGUAGAGGUGAAAUUCGUAGAUAUUCGGUGGAACACCAGUGGCGAAGGCGGCUCACUGGCUCGAUACUGACGCUGAGGUGCGAAAGCGUGGGAGCAAACAGGAUUAGAUACCCUGGUAGGAUAGCG